UACGAAGGGGGCUAGCGUUGCUCGGAAUGACUGGGCGUAAAGGGCGCGUAGGCGGUUUGUACAGUCAGGUGUGAAAUUCCCGGGCUCAACCUGGGGGCUGCACUUGAUACGUAUGGACUGGAGUGGGGAAGAGGGUCGUGGAAUUCCCAGUGUAGAGGUGAAAUUCGUAGAUAUUGGGAAGAACACCGGUGGCGAAGGCGGCGCACUGGACCACAACUGACGCUGAGGCGCGAAAGCUAGGGGAGCAAACAGG
rnacentral:rRNA from 1 species